UCUAAUCGGUCAAAAAAAAAUUUUUAGUAUCUUAUAGCUUUUUAUUUUGAAAAUGAUAAAGUUUUGAAUGCAUUUUUCUCACAUUUACAUUUACAUCGUAGAUAAAAUUUGUUUGCAGUAAGUGUAAUAUGCCAUUUUUUAAAAAGCUUUACAUUUAGUAGACAAAGCAAAUGGAUAAAUAUAAUUUAAAUUACGCUCUGUUAUUUGUAAUUUCAAAGGUUAUUUAACUUAUUUUAAAUUUUCUUUAUAAAGCUUUAUAUAGAAAAUAAAACAAUAAGGUUUAUUUUAUUUUAAAUUAAAAGCCAUCAGUAUUACUAAAUAAUAUAUAAUAACAUAUAUGGUAAGUUAAUACAUAUCAUAUAUGGUAAGUUACUAUAUGUCUAAAUCUAGAAAAUUAUGCAAGAAUAUAUGAAAUCCAUAUAGUCUAUAUUAUGGAAAUAAAAGUUCAACUAAUCCUUUACUAGUAGUAAAGGGUUAGUUGAACAAUUAUUUCUAUAAUAUAGACUAAAUGUAUUAUUUAUAGUCUUGUUUAACUUUAUAUUUUAGACAUAUGACAUGUAGUAACAUACCAUAUUAGUUUAAAUCAGUUGUAAAAUUAAAAAUGUUAACAUCUUUGAUAAGUAUAUUUAUUUAGGUUAGUUACAGCUAAGUUUACAUGGCUAGUUAAUAUGAUUUUAUGAAUUGCAAUUUUUAUUAAUUUCCAAAUUAAACAUGUGGCAUCCAAUAUCAUAAACUAAGUUUAUACUGGUGUGUUUAUAUUAUUUUAGAAUUUUUUGUUUUAGACACAUGGCAUUUGUUAUCCCACUAUAAGUUAAAACUAGUUGUAAAAUUAAAAAAAUUUAUAUUGGAACUUCUAUUUCUUUUAACAUUCAUGUUUAUUUAAUUGAGUUACAACUAAGGUUAUAAAUGAGUUAUUUAUACUAUCUUAGAGUUUGCUGCCUUAGAGGCACGGCAUUUAGUGUCACAUUGUAGGUUUAAAUUGGUUGUAGAAUUUAUAUUGUAACUUGCAUAUUUAUUUAGUUAAAUUUAAUCUAAGUUUAUAUCUGAUGUGUUGGUAUUAUUUUAGAAUUUACUGUUUUAAACAAAAACAAAAAAAAAUUAUAUUUUAACUUGCAUUUCUUUUGACGUUCAUGUUUAUAUAAUUAGAUUACAACUAAUUUUGUGUAUGGCUUGUUUAUAUUAUUUCAGAAUUUGCUAUUUUAGACACUUGGUAUAAGCUGUCAUACUAAUUUGCUGUUUUAGACAUGUGGCUUGUGAUAUCCCACUAAUUAGCUAUUUUAAACAUGUGACAAGUGGUAUGACACUGUAUUAAUGUAUGUGAAAUGUAUAGAGUCUUUCAGUUAUCAGAUAAUGUCAAGGAGUUGACAGCAUGGUGUCGAUUUAAAGUGCGAACCUUUGUGCGAGUAACAACAGUAUUCAAAACCAAAACCUAUUUAAACCAACCAAACCAAAACUAGCGACUAAAAUCUAAUAUCUUGGCAUUGGUUUAUUUUAAACAUCUAUUACAUAUAUAUGUGUGUGUUUUAUAUAAAUGUACUAGCUUGAGUAUAGUGUAUUAAAAAUAUUUUUUUAAACUAUUUUUAUUGUAAUUUAAAGUAUAUUGGAUUAAAUAUUAUAAAUAUUUGAUUAGUUUUCAAUAUUUGGUUUAAACGUUUUAAUGUAGAAUAUCGAAAUAAAAUAAUGCAAACAUUAACAAAUACAAAGAUUAUUUGGUUAUGAAGUCACAAUUCUGGCCUCUCUAAUUUUAGAUUUUAGUGAUUUUAACGAAAUAAUCACUAAAAUAACUUAUCAACACAUUUAUUUCAUAGGAAUAACAACCGCGGAAAAUUUGCUACCUAGUGCCUACUCCUUAAUUUUAACAGAUUAUUCGUUGCACUAACGAAAUAAAUCCGUAAAUUCAACGGACUAUUCCUAACGGACUUCAAUUCGUUAAAAUUUUAAUUUGUUAACUUAAUGGAUUUCCCGUUAGUGCAAUAGCGACAGAUACAAUUCGUUGUAUAUAACGGGUUUUUUCUUA